AUUAAACGCUGGCGGCAUGCCUUACACAUGCAAGUCGAACGGCAGCGGGCCUUCGGGUGCCGGCGAGUGGCGAACGGGUGAGUAAUGCAUCGGAACGUGCCAUUGAGUGGGGGAUAACGUAGCGAAAGUUACGCUAAUACCGCAUAUUCUGUGAGCAGGAAAGCAGGGGACCGCAAGGCCUUGCGCUCUUUGAGCGGCCGAUGUCAGAUUAGCUAGUUGGUGAGGUAAAGGCUUACCAAGGCGACGAUCUGUAGCGGGUCUGAGAGGAUGAUCCGCCACACUGGAACUGAGACACGGUCCAGACUCCUACGGGAGGCAGCAGUGGGGAAUUUUGGACAAUGGGCGCAAGCCUGAUCCAGCCAUGCCGCGUGAGUGAAGAAGGCCU
rnacentral:rRNA from 1 species